AUCUAUGGUCAUACCACCCUGAACGCAUCUGAUCUUGGAAGCUAAGUAGGGUUGGGCCUGGAUAGUACUUGGAUGGGAGAAGAUGGGUUACUUUCUCCU
rnacentral:rRNA from 1 species